rnacentral:rRNA from 1 species
CUUACACAUGCAAGUCGAACGAUGAACCUCCUUCGGGAGGGGAUUAGUGGCGAACGGGUGAGUAACACGUGGGCAAUCUGCCCUUCACUCUGGGACAAGCCCUGGAAACGGGGUCUAAUACCGGAUAACACUGCGGAUCGCAUGGUCUGCGGUUAAAAGCUCCGGCGGUGAAGGAUGAGCCCGCGGCCUAUCAGCUAGUUGGUGGGGUAAUGGCCUACCAAGGCGACGACGGGUAGCCGGCCUGAGAGGGCGACCGGCCACACUGGGACUGAGACACGGCCCAGACUCCUACGGGAGGCAGCAGUGGGGAAUAUUGCACAAUGGGCGAAAGCCUGAUGCAGCGACGCCGCGUGAGGGAUGACGGCCUUCGGGUUGUAAACCUCUUUCAGCAGGGAAGAAGCGAAAGUGACGGUACCUGCAGAAGAAGCGCCGGCUAACUACGUGCCAGCAGCCGCGGUAAUACGUAGGGCGCAAGCGUUGUCCGGAAUUAUUGGGCGUAAAGAGCUCGUAGGCGGCUUGUCACGUCGGAUGUGAAAGCCCGGGGCUUAACCCCGGGUCUGCAUUCGAUACGGGCAGGCUAGAGUGUGGUAGGGGAGAUCGGAAUUCCUGGUGUAGCGGUGAAAUGCGCAGAUAUCAGGAGGAACACCGGUGGCGAAGGCGGAUCUCUGGGCCAUUACUGACGCUGAGGAGCGAAAGCGUGGGGAGCGAACAGGAUUAGAUACCCUGGUAGUCCACGCCGUAAACGUUGGGAACUAGGUGUUGGCGACAUUCCACGUCGUCGGUGCCGCAGCUAACGCAUUAAGUUCCCCGCCUGGGGAGUACGGCCGCAAGGCUAAAACUCAAAGGAAUUGACGGGGGCCCGCACAAGCAGCGGAGCAUGUGGCUUAAUUCGACGCAACGCGAAGAACCUUACCAAGGCUUGACAUCGCCCGGAAAGCAUCAGAGAUGGUGCCCCCCUUGUGGUCGGGUGACAGGUGGUGCAUGGCUGUCGUCAGCUCGUGUCGUGAGAUGUUGGGUUAAGUCCCGCAACGAGCGCAACCCUUGUUCUGUGUUGCCAGCAUGCCCUUCGGGGUGAUGGGGACUCACAGGAGACUGCCGGGGUCAACUCGGAGGAAGGUGGGGACGACGUCAAGUCAUCAUGCCCCUUAUGUCUUGGGCUGCACACGUGCUACAAUGGCCGGUACAAAGAGCUGCGAAGCCGCGAGGCGGAGCGAAUCUCAAAAAGCCGGUCUCAGUUCGGAUUGGGGUCUGCAACUCGACCCCAUGAAGUCGGAGUUGCUAGUAAUCGCAGAUCAGCAUUGCUGCGGUGAAUACGUUCCCGGGCCUUGUACACACCGCCCGUCACGUCACGAAAGUCGGUAACACCCGAAGCCGGUGGCCCAACCCCUUGUGGGAGGGAGCUGUCGAAGGUGGGACUGGCGAUUGGGACGAAGUCGUAACAAG